UACGUAGGGGGCUAGCGUUGUCCGGAUUUAUUGGGCGUAAAGAGCGUGUAGGCGCCAGGUAGGUCUGCUGUGAAAAGCUCGACGGCUCAACCUCGAGACGUCGGCGGAAACCUCUGGCGUAGAGUCCGGAAGAGGAGAGUGGAAUUCCUGGUGUAGCGGUGAAAUGACGCAGAUAUCAGGAAGAACACCCGUGGCGAAGGCGGCUCUCUGGGACGGUAACUG
rnacentral:rRNA from 1 species